AACCCUUCUGGGUCCCCUUCCACCACGCAGAAGCUUUACUUUCGCUUUCACUUUACUUUUGCUUUCACUUUAACAAAUCUUGCAGCCGCACACUCUUUGGGUCCGCCCGUUUCUCUAAUCAAGUUGUAACACUCGCUGCUGUGGUCCACAGCUUCAUUCCUUGAAGCCCGUGAGACACGAACGCUUCCAUUGAGAAAAACCUUCCAUCAGAAGAAGACUUCUCGUCUCAGUGGGACUGCUGAGUUGAAUGGAUGACCUUUGUUUGUUUAAACUGUUGGAAAAUCAAUAUUUAAAAUGAAAUCUAGAAACUGAAGUGUGCCCUCUGCAGGAUCACCAGAAUGAUGGGAAAACUGAACACAAUCAACUCAUGAACUCCCCAAGGAACUACAGACCCAGGAAAUCAACUGUUAUGACUGACUCUCAAUUAAAAUCAGUGCCUGCCUCUGAGCUAUUGAUGAUUCUAAAAAGUACAGCAUCCACUACCAUUACUUCCUUAUGUAUAAGGGCUGUCACUCUUUAAGCAAAAUAAACAGAUUUUUGAGCAUCAUCUCUUUUUUGGAUCAUCAUUUUGCAAGUGGAGAUUGUGCUUUUUUUUCUGAAGCUUUGGUAGUGUAACUGUAAGAGUCCUGGAAUUGGAAAAGCAAAUCCAGAAGUUGAGUUCCAUGACUUUUUUGCUGUUUGCCUUUGGACUUGCAUCAUUUAUAUUUUUAAUUCAUCGAGGAUGAGAAAAUUGAUUAACACAAAAUCUUUUCAUGUCUUUUCUGAUGAGAGACUAGCUGAAUCCAAGAAGAGAAGCCCUUGAAGAGUGUAUUCUAUUCUAGACAAGCAUUCACACAUUGGCUUCUUUGGUGCCAGCAUGUUUCUGAUCAGCAUGAAAACUGCGCAGGAGCUUUUCUGUCUUGCAGAGCUAGUUAAUGAGAUUGUUGCUGCCUUCAGAUUCUAUAAAGGACUUCUCCAAUAUUGGAUUAAAGAAUGAAGAAAGGAUCAAAUUGAGACAUCCAGGGGGGAAGAGUUCCCUGGCAAAACUCCAAUCUGCCUGAGCACUGAGGUGGAGCCACAGAAGUCCGGGUCAUUUGCACCUGGGAGGAGCCUGGCCCCUCCUCUUCCUGUGUGGAAUCUGGGAUUUAAUCUGUGAGGAGGGAAGGCCAAGGGCAGGAAGCACAGGCUCUCACUUCACUAAGAGUCUCUGUUUCCCCUUUUUUUCCUUUAUGCCUAAUUAAUAAAUCCCAUUUUUCUCACUCUUCAAAUAGUCUUCAAGCCUAAAUUUUCAUGACCAUGGAACAAGGACCCCAUCUUUAGCUGAACUAAGGAAAAGUCCUGCAACAAAAUUCUUUGCUAAAAAUACAUGAGGUUGCCUUUUCCUUCUUAAUCUUAAAAGAAAUAUAUUUCAAUGGUUAACGUUUUAGUAAUUCAAAAAUUAUCAAGCAUUUGUUCACAACCAUAAGAUGUGCAUUGUUUUAUAUUCCUACUUAAUAAUAGACUAUAAUUGUCUAAUUAGACUGCCGAUGUUGAUCUUUGUGGCUCAUUGCAUUGAUUAUAAGCAGUGUUUUGGGUUUGUGUGUGUGUGUCAAAUUUAGGGUUUUUUUGGUAUGGCUGCUGGUUGGUGUAGCCUGUAUCCAGUAUCCUGUAUUAAUUCUAAUAUUUGCAUUUUGAACAUAUUUACAAGUUGCUAAAAUAGCAAAGCUUCGAGAUGAGCCUGGCUGAUAUGGCAAAACCCCGUCUCUACUAAAAAUACAAAAAUUAGCCUGGUGUGGUGGUGCAUGCCUGUAAUCCCAGCUACUUGGAAGUCUGAGGCAGGAGAAUCUCUUGAACCCAGAAGGUGGAGGUUGCAGUGGGCCAAGAUCGCACCACUGCACUCCAGCCUCGGUGAUAGAGCGAGACUACGUCUCAAAAAUAAAAUAAAAUAAAAUAAAAUAAAAAUAGCAAAGCUAUGUAUGGUUUCUCUGAGUUUUGUAAUUUAUCAUUGUUAACUGCAGAAAUUUAUUAUAUGAGACAUAUUAUAUGAGACAUAUAAGUGAAUUUGGAUUGGGUUUAAUUUUAUAUUUUUGAAUAUAGUUCUUCAAGAUAAAUUUUAUCUUAGACCUCAAGAAAUAAAAAUAAAAUAAAUUAGAUAUACAAACGA
rnacentral:lncRNA from 10 species